AACCGAUGCCCCUGUAGGAGCUGCCGCAGGCUGCGAUCUUUUGAUUUUGGUUUCAAGAUCAAAAGAUCGCAGCCUGCGGCAGCUCCUACAAGGGAU
rnacentral:misc_RNA from 1 species